AUGCUCCGCCUCCGGAGCUGCGUCCUCGCCCAUCUCCUCUCCUCUCCCGCCACCUCUCUCCAUCGCCUCCUCUCCGCCGCCGCCGUUUCCCCCAGCUCCGGCUUCUCCGUGGAGCACUACCUCGUCUCCACCUGCGGGCUCACCCGAGCGCAGGCCCUCAAGGCCUCCCCCAAGCUCUCCCACCUGAGGUCCCCCUCCAAGCCCGACGCCGUCCUCGCCUUCCUCGCCGGCCUCGGCAUCCCCAGCUCCGACGUCGCGGCCCUAGUCGCCAGGGACCCGCUGUGCCUCUGCGCCAGCGUGGAGAGAACCCUGUCCCCCGUCGUCGACGGGCUCACCGGCCUCGGACUGUCGCCUUCCCAGAUCGCGCGACUCGUCCCGCUCACCGCCAACACCCACUUCCGCAACAAAUCCGUCGUCUCCAAGGUGGGCUACUACCUGCGCCUCUUCGGCUCCUUGGAGGAAUUCCUCCAGGCGUUCAAGCACAACCACAAUCUCUUCUCACACAGCCUCGAGAGGGUGGUCAAGCGGAACGUCGGGUUGCUGCGGGAGUGCACGCUAGGUGCUUGCGAUAUUGGCAAGCUUGCCAUCUCUAUGCCAAGGAUGCUCACCGCCAACGUGGAACAAAUCCGGGCGAUGGUGGCCGGCGCCGAACGUCUGGGUGUGCCUCGCGGCUCUGGGAUGUUCCGGCAAGCCAUGCGGAGCGUUGCGUUCGACAGCGAGGACAAGAUCGCCGCCAAAAUGGAAUACUUGAAGAAGACGUUUAGGUGGUCGGAUGCCGAGGUGUGCAUUGCUGUGUCCAAGGCUCCAAUGCUGCUCACCUUGGGCAAGGACCUGCUGCGGAGGAAGUCAGAGUUCCUCGUCUCCGAGGUUGGACUGGAACCAGCAUACCUUGCUCAUCGCCCAAUAAUGCUCAGUUACAGCCUAGACGGGCGGCUCAGGCCACGGUACUGCGUUGUCAAGUUUCUCAGGGAAAAUGGAUUGCUCAAGGGCAACCCGGGCUAUAAGACAAUUUGGGAUCUGGUUGAGAAGGUAUUCAUGGAGAAGUACAUAUGCCCUCACAUGGAGGCUGCGCCACACCUUGCUGAAGACUAUGCGGCCGCAUGCAGAGGGGAAGCGCCAACUAGAUUCAGAUUUACUUGA
rnacentral:rRNA from 1 species